GACUUCCAGCUCGGAACAUCGCUGCAGCUGAGGCUGGAGGGGAGCGAGGAGGAGGAGGAGGAGAACGGGAGCUCCGAUUCUGUGCUGGAGCCUGGGCAGCCAGCUGCAGGAGCUGCCGUGGCAAUGGAACCGCAGCGACAGCCCCGAGCUGCUGGGGGAAGUGGAGGAUCAAAGUGCCAGUGGGAGCGAGGGAGAGAACCCAGAAGGACUCGGGUGGACAGAGCCACUGUGGCAACCACGCAGCACCACCCAGCCUGAUGGCAGGAAACGUAAGUGAAGGUGUGAGCAGGGCAUCAGCGAGUCACCAAGGAGCCACACGUCCCUCCCUGCCCAGGCUGCUCAGGACACAGGCCAGGAUGGUGCAGUCCCAGCUGUGUCGCCGUGUCCCUGUAUGUGCCUCCACCCGUCGGUGCCAGCCAGGCCCAGCCCCAUCCAGCAGAACUGCAGCCAUUCCUUAGGAGAAGGAACCAGCCAAGGGGCAGGUUGGGGUGAGCCGCUGGCCCUGGGGCUGCCCCAGGAGGAGUCACAGCCACCCCCCUGCCCAGAGCCACCCCAGGGCUGACUGUGCCCUGGUAGGGCUGGCUCUGGUGGAGCCCGCUGAAGAGCAUCCUCCUGAUCUACUGCACCUUGUUGGGAGGUUCCAGGAACAAGGAGUCUGCUCACCAGUGGCCACAGACACUUUGCACAAGCUGGAGCUGCUGGAGCAAUGGAUUGCAAAACUCCCCCCUUGACUUCCUCGUGGGCCAGACCCGGCCCCUCUCAGCAGCUCUGCACGUGCUGCAGAGCUGGGCCAGCUCUGGUGACAGUGGCUCCCCCCUCAGCCCCCAGCUGAUGAGCCCUGGGAGCUCUGGUCCCGUUCGGAGCAGGGCUGAGGGGCCUCCCCAUGCCCAGGAGUGGC